ACCUACGGGGGGCAGCAGUGGGGGAUAUUGCACAAUGGGGGGAACCCUGAUGCAGCGACGCCGCGUGGGUGAAGAAGUAUUUCGGUAUGUAAAGCCCUAUCGGCAGGGAAGAAAUUGGACGGUACCUGACUAAGAAGCCCUGGCUAACUACGUGCCAGCAGCCGCGGUAAUACGUAGGGGGCAAGCGUUAUCCGGAUUUACUGGGUGUAAAGGGAGCGUGGACGGCCAGACAAGUCUGAAGUGAAAAUCCA
rnacentral:rRNA from 1 species